rnacentral:rRNA from 1 species
GAUGAACGCUGGCGGCGUGCCUAAUACAUGCAAGUCGAGCGAACGGACGAGAAGCUUGCUUUUCUGAUGUUAGCGGCGGACGGGUGAGUAACACGUGGAUAACCUACCUAUAAGACUGGGAUAACUUCGGGAAACCGGAGCUAAUACCGGAUAAUAUUUUGAACCGCAUGGUUCAAAAGUGAAAGACGGUCUUGCUGUCACUUAUAGAUGGAUCCGCGCUGCAUUAGCUAGUUGGUAAGGUAACGGCUUACCAAGGCAACGAUGCAAAGCCGACCUGAGAGGGUGAUCGGCCACACUGGAACUGAGACACGGUCCAGACUCCUACGGGAGGCAGCAGUAGGGAAUCUUCCGCAAUGGGCGAAAGCCUGACGGAGCAACGCCGCGUGAGUGAUGAAGGUCUUCGGAUCGUAAAACUCUGUUAUUAGGGAAGAACAUAUGUGUAAGUAACUGUGCACAUCUUGACGGUACCUACUCAGAAAGCCACGGCUAACUACGUG